UCCUGCAGAUCCUGCCAAGGCACCUGCAGAGCCAGUGCCCAGAGAGGCGGCACCUGGCUCUGCGAGGGCUCCUGGUGCUCAGCGUGGAUCCCUCGAUGGCCAAAGGCAUCUGCAGCCUGUCUGAGGACCUCCUGGAGCUGCUGCGUGAUGGAGAUGGAGAGCUGGUCGCCAUGACCCUCUCCUUGUUCCGGAAUGUGCUCCAGGAUGGAGACAACCGUGACGGGUUCAGCUCCACUGCCCCGAGGCUGGCUGAGGCGCUCCGGCCAGUCUUUGACUACGACAACAGCCACGUGCAGCUGCUCUCCAUUUGCCUCUUCGGAGA